UACGUAGGGGGCAAGCGUUAUCCGGAUUUACUGGGCGUAAAGAGCGCGCAGGCGGUUGUGUAAGUUGGUUGUGAAAUCCCUCGGCUCAACCGAGGAACUGCAGCCAAUACUGUGCAACUCGAGUGGCAGAGAGGAAAGUGGAAUUCCCGGUGUAGUAGUGAAAUGCGUAGAUAUCGGGAGGAACACCAGUGGCGAAGGCGACUUUCUGGCUGCUAACUGACGCUGAGGCGCGAAAGCUAGGGGAGCGAACGGG
rnacentral:rRNA from 1 species